CGUGCAGGCGGGUUGGUAAGUCAGAUGUGAAAGCCCUGGGCUCAACCCAGGAAGUGCAUUUGAAACUGCCAUCCUUGAGUAUGGGAGAGGAGAGUGGAAUCCCCAAUGUAGAGGUGAAAUUCGUAGAUAUUGGGAGGAACACCCGUGGCGAAGGCGACUCUCUGGACCAAUACUGACGCUGAGACGCGAAAGCGUGGGGAGCAAACA
rnacentral:rRNA from 1 species